ensembl:snRNA U1 U1 spliceosomal RNA
AUACUUAGCUGGCAGGGGGAGAUCUUAUAGUCACAAAGGUGGUUUUCUCAGGGCAAGGCUUAUCCAUUAGACUUUGGAUGUGAUGAGCCCUGUGAUUUCCCCAAAUGCGGGAAACUAGGCUGCAGAAUUUGUGGUAGUGGGGGACUGAUAUAUACUGUCUCCUA